UGAAAAAGACCGUACCGGCCGCUGCACACCUCUUCUUGGAUAAAGACAAGACCGUAAACAUCACAAAUGGAACCCUCGUGUGGCGAACCGAAAAGAAUGAUCACAGCUUCAUGUACGGUGGCAUCAUCAGCAGUGACGAUGGCGGUCUCACCGUAACUAAGGCCGGCGACUAUCUCGUAAUUGGGCACCUCUGUUUUGAUACAUUUAGCAACGAAAUGAACAGGUCUUCAAUUAUUGAAUUAUAUAUUAAUCUGGAGUUUUCUCCCGUCUCAGUCUUGGUGACCAAAGUAAAGCUGAGGAAUAGAACAUACUUGUCCACAAGCUUUACAAUUCUGCGAAAACAAAUGAAAAAAAAUAGUCGUUUCUGGUUCACGUUUCUGGAUGACAGCCAUGUAAAGUACAUUUACGAUGAUGAGUCAGCUUGCAGUGCACUGACCUUACUUAAAGUACCUUAAACUGCCAUUGCAGUGACAGGAGUGAGUGACUAUGGUUUUACGACGCUUUUAGCAAUGUUCCAGCCAUGUCACGGCGGGGGACACCAGAAAUUGGCUUCACACAUUGUACCUAUGUGGGGUAGACGUGACCAAAUCUGUAAACAAUAGAGCAAACCAAGAACACGUCACUGCGCAUUGUAAGCUCACGGGGACACAUAUAGCUCAUUGGAUCAUAAGGAGCCGCCAUUUGUGUCCUAAAUCGGCGGUGUGGUUCACGGUUGGCUCUGUACCGUUGUUUCCAAGCUUUUACCAAGAACGUGUUCAAACAGCCCGAUGUGUGUGACACAACAAGACCUCACAAUUAUUAUCAAUAAUGUGGAUGUCAGGUUUCCGAUUUCGUCCAUUUUGUUUAUUAAAACCUAAUUGUGAGGUUCCUUUUAAUCAUAAUCAAUUAUUUCCUUCCAUAUAAAUUUAGUUAUGGUCGGGAUAACUGUUGCUCAGUUACUUGUCAUUUGCAUGUUCUGAUCACCAUUGACAUGAUUUAAGUCCCCGAGAUUUUCAAGUAAGUGCUUACAGAUCUCAGUCGUUCUGUAGCGUUUCUCAAAACUAUUCCAAGUUGUAAAGAUCUAUUUCUGACACAUGUUGUAAAUAACUGUUAUAACACAUGUAAGGAACUGUUUCUGACACAUGUUGUAAGAACUGUUAUGACAUCUAUUGUAAAGAACUGUUCAUGACAUAUGUUGCAAAAAACUGUUUAUGGCACAUGUUGUACAGAACUGUUUCUGACACAUGUUGUGAAGAACUAUUUCUGACACAUGUUGUAAAGAACUAAUUAUAACGCAUGUUGUAAAGAACUGUUUCUGACACAUGUUGUAAAGAACUGUUAUAACAUAUGUUGGAAAGCACUGUUUAUAACACAUGUUGUAAAGAACAGUUUAUCACACAUGCAAAGAACUGUUAUGACAUGUGUUGUAAAGAACUGUUUAUAACAGAUGUUGUAAAGAAAUGUUAUGACGCAUGUUGUAAAGAACUGUUUCUGACACAUGUUGUAAAGAACUGUUUAUAACAGAUGUUGGAAAGAACUGUUUCUGACGCAUGUUGUAGAGAACUGUUUCUGACACAUGUUGUAUAGAACAGUUUAUGACACACGUUGUAAAGAACAGUUUAUGACACAUGUUGUAAAGAACAGUUGAUGACACAUGUUGUAGAGAGCAGUUGAUGACACAUGUUAUAAAGAAUUUUUAUGACAUAUGUUUCAAAGAACAUUUUAUGACAUAUGUUGUAAAGACAUGUUUCAAAGAACAGCCUUUUGCAUAUCAUCAGUAAUUAAGCACAUUUCGUCUGAACGAAAAUAUUUAAAUGAAAUAUCAUCAUUUUUUAAGUUUCUGUUCUUAAAAGGUAAAAGAAAACAUAUAUAGUUAUUCUGUUGUGAUGUACAUAAGUUUAUCAUAGUUGUGUAUCGGAUCUUAAGUUUGCAGUGUUUCAGCGAAUGUUUUUAGCCACGUGACUUUUUGACAACUUUUGUAAAUUGGGGUGUAUACAUUCUUUUGUCCAGCAGUUUACGCAUUCAGCUAAUUAUUAUAUACAUAUAAAUAUUGUAUAUUCAACUAACUGUUAUAAGUGUGUACAAUAUUCCAUUAACUGUUUGAAGUGUGUUCUGUAUCUGAUUAAUGUGUUUGGGUUUUUUUGUUUAACGACGCUCUCAUCAACAUUCCAGCUUUAUGACGGCGAUCUGUAAAUAGUCGAGUGUGGACUGGGCAAUCCAGUGAUUGACAUCAUGAGCAUCGUAACAUAUCUUAUAUUUGGGAUUACACAUUCUCUGUAAAGUACAGAUUCUAGUUCUUUUGUUGGGUGGAGUCCCAUCCGGGAUUCGAACCCACCUCCUCAGAGUCAGCAACCCAAACCAGGGACUUAACCCACUCAGCCAUAGCGGCUUCAUGAACAUCGAUAUCUACCCAAUGGGGAUACGAUGCAUCAACCAAGUCAGCACUCUUACGAGAAUGGCUUUCUGAAGACCAUUUAUUGUCCAUGUCUUUAAGAUGUUAAAUCAUCUGUUUGAUGUGUGUUGUGUAUUUACUAAACUGUUUAGUGCUUUAUACACUGAGAUAAAAAAUAAACUAUACCUAUCAGC